UCAGGUAGGGAUACCCGCUGAACUUAAGCAUAUCAAUAAGCGGAGGAAAAGAAACCAACAGGGAUUGCCCUAGUAACGGCGAGUGAAGCGGCAACAGCUCAAAUUUGAAAUCUGGCUCUUUCAGAGUCCGAGUUGUAAUUUGCAGAGGGCGCUUUGGCGUUGGCAGCGGUCCAAGUUCCUUGGAACAGGACGUCACAGAGGGUGAGAAUCCCGUACGUGGU
rnacentral:rRNA from 14 species